UGCUUAUCGAGAAAGACCGAGGGAAGGGCCCUAUGACGUCUUAGCAACCUGAAUUAUUACAAGGUGCUAACUCCCAUUUCGGAAAAGCCGAAAAAAGAUGAGCC
rnacentral:ncRNA from 2 species